rnacentral:misc_RNA from 1 species
AAUGUGAUAAAAAUGAUCGUAACACCUGGUUGUCUGUAGUUUAUGGGUAGAUUAUUUUUCUGUGAUGUGUUCCUGUAUUUGAUGAGUAAACCGUUCACCCUGUGAUAUAUUCCUUUUACAAUAGGACUGCUUUAACUUCGGUAAAGUGGCCGCCAGCGGCCAGCUCUCGGAGCUUCACAAAGUGCUCCUAAUGCUCCACACGACCGGUAGAACCAGGGAGACCGUGAGUGGUGUUGUCCAGUGUUAAGAAGUUAUCAAAAGAGGAGUUAAAAGCCAUAAAAGACAUCAGAAAGGCUUGCGCCGUGCAUGCGGUAAAGGCCGUUCAAAAGGUAUCCCCUCAACAUAUUAAAUCAUGAUUUUAUUUUAAUUUGAGACUUAUCACGCUUGGAUGAGGAUAUGCUCAUAAAGUUCACCAACAGUUUAUAUUGUAAACGUCAUAGGAUUAUCAUAUUAACGAAAAGAUUAAACUGAAUAAGUUUAUUCUAGUAUUAAGAUCUAUUUUUGCAAUAUUUCUAAUAGAAAAUUAUUCCAAUAUAGUGCUAUGGUUAGCUAGUACUGAUAAGGUCAAUUUCUUUAUUAGUUUUUUAGUGAAACCCCUGACGGUCGGACCGCACUGAGUGACGCCCAGCAAUCUUCCUGCGCGGGAUUUAUCACGAGGGCCGUGGAACUCUGCUGGCUCAUGAAUGUCCAAGACCCGCCUCUAGUGAUCACGUGGUCUGUGAAACCCGGCGAGAUUUGUGAUAACACCCGAUACAAACAGUUCACCCACACUGGCCAGUUCGUGGAGUUCCUUGUUUGGCCACCUCUGUACUUGUUUAAGGAAGGGCACCUGCUGAGUAAGGGAGUGGUUCAGUGCAUAUGAAGGCAUGUGAUCAUAAGCAGCACACAUCACUAUUUCAUUUGCCAAAAACUAAUGUUAAUCCUUUUGCAAUACUAUUACUACUAGUUACUGUUUGUUUGUUGGUCAUUUCCACUGUUUACAUGAUUAAAUUUUGAAUUUAAAA